rnacentral:lncRNA from 1 species
AAGAAUUCAAGAUUUAAAAUCUCUGCAAUUCUAGAGCCUCUACCUCAAUUCUCUAUCGCUGACGUGGCAAUAUAAUUCCACAUAAGUUAUGCUAUUUAUAUUAUUUAAUUAAGUUAUUUUAUUUAUUAUAUCAUCACAAUUAAACAUUCUAAUCAUUCGACCUUCUCCACCAGAUUUCCCUUCUCCUCUCCUCCAUCAAAUUUCCACCGCCGCCACCUGCCACAAUUCCCUGCAACUCUCACCGCCAAGCCGCCUUCGUCGCGGCGGCCACCACCGAGAUAUGUCACCUCUCUUUUCCCCGUCAGCCCUCCGAUCUGCCGACUCCCCAAAAUUGAUUUGGGGAAAAUCAGAAAUCGCCGGCCGCCGCCACCUGCCACAAUUCCCUGCAACUCUCACCGCCAAGCCGCCUUCGUCGCGCCGCGCCGGUCACUUAUUUGAUUAUUUGAUUAAGUUAUUUUCCUGCGCCAAUUUCCAACGGAUAGAUCCCCAAAUCCUCAUCGCCUCCUUGCGACUUCCGGCGACCACGGCAGCCAUGGCCGCCGAUCUGCCCCUCCCACCACCAGAAAUCGAUCUGCCACCUCCCUUCCCCCAUAUG